rnacentral:lncRNA from 1 species
GUGUUAUUCAAUAAAACAAUGUUUAUUUAAGUGUUUAUAAGUAAAUCAUAUAAAGUAAAUCAUGGAUGGUCUUAUUUUAUUCAUUCAAUAAAUUGUGCUUUGACAACAUUUAUAUUUGCUUAUACAGAAACAUGUUAAUCAAGGUAUUUAUUCAUUUCUUAUUUUGUUCUCUAUCUCUCUGUUCUUCUCUAACACAAUACUGGUCCUAACUGCUUAAACUGUUUCUCUCGAACUGAUGUCCUUAACUGAAGUCCCUAACUGAAGUCCCUGACUCUAUCUCAUAUCCCUAACUCUAACUGAUCUUUAACUGUCUUCCAUUCCUCAUAUAUUUCCUUAGUUCUGCCUCUUCUGUUCAACCAUUGGUUGAUAGAUCAAGGUUUCAUUGUGAUGGACAGGAGUGGUUACUGACCUGUCCGUCACAGUGCCAUUCUGUUCAUUGUGGCUUCUGCUUUGAAAUGCCCCCACGAAGUUGGAGCUCCCUUUCUCACUUUUAGGGAGCCAGACAUGGUCUAAACUAACUGGCAAUGGUGUUGCCAAAGGAGAACCAUUUCACUCUUGCAAUACUCCUGUGCCUGUGGGGUUAUUGCCCACAGAAUGGUAUACUGCCCUUCCAUGCUUGAGCAAUAAAGGACUGAGGGAGAGAGAAAAAGAGAAAGCAAAAUGGGAAAGAGGACCAAGACAACUGCACAAGAAGACCUCCUUUCCUAAACCAGCAAAGGCUUCACAUGGAGAAGAUUCCAGGUACCAACCAUGGAUGUGAUGUUCUCCCAACAGAAAAGAAUGGAUGAAUGGGACUCUCAAUGAACUGAACUCAGAGUACAGGACCUUCUGCCCUACCACCUCCAAACAAACCUUGGUGUCCACCCACUUGACCUACAAUAAGGAGAAGAAUGGACCAAG